rnacentral:rRNA from 1 species
GUUUGAUCCUGGCUCAGAUUGAACGCUGGCGGAAUGCUUUACACAUGCAAGUCGAGCGGCAGCGCGGGGGCAACCCUGGCGGCGAGCGGCGAACGGGUGAGUAAUGUAUCGGAACGUACCCUGUCGUGGGGGAUAACACAGCGAAAGCUGUGCUAAUACCGCAUACGACCUGAGGGUGAAAGCGGGGGACCGUAAGGCCUCGCGCGAUAGGAGCGGCCGAUAUCGGAUUAGCUUGUUGGUGAGGUAAAGGCUCACCAAGGCGACGAUCCGUAGCUGGUCUGAGAGGACGACCAGCCACACUGGAACUGAGACACGGUCCAGACUCCUACGGGAGGCAGCAGUGGGGAAUUUUGGACAAUGGGGGCAACCCUGAUCCAGCCAUUCCGCGUGAGUGAAGAAGGCCUCGG